rnacentral:rRNA from 1 species
GAUGAACGCUAGCGACAGGCCUAACACAUGCAAGUUGAGGGGUAUUGCAGCAAUGCAAGAGACCGGCGCACGGGUGCGUAACGCGUAUGUAACCUGCCUUACACAGAGGGAUAGCCUUCCGAAAGGGAGAUUAACACCACAUAACAUCAAGAUGCCGCAUGGUAUUUUGCUUAAAUCUCAGGAGGUGUAAGAUGGGCAUGCGUAUGAUUAGCUAGUUGGCGGGGUAACGGCCCACCAAGGCGACGAUCAUUAGGGGUUCUGAGAGGAAGAUCCCCCACACUGGUACUGAGACACGGACCAGACUCCUACGGGAGGCAGCAGUGAGGAAUAUUGGUCAAUGGGCGUAAGCCUGAACCAGCCAUGUCGCGUGCAGGACGACUGCCCUAUGGGUUGUAAACUGCUUUUGUAUGGGAAGAAACGACGGCACGAGUGCUGUUUUGCCGGUACCAUACGAAUAAGGAUCGGCUAACUCCGUGCCAGCCGCCGCCGUAAAAC